AGCAAAGUCAAUAGAGACUCCAAAGCGCCCAGCGGGAGCCCGCGGAUCGACCGCAGCAUGCGCAGGGCAGAGCCCAGCAAAAGCUGAAGCACAUGAUAAGGUGACAGUUUUCCAUGCGACAGCAUGCCUGUGGACUACCUGGCGACCACUGCAGUGUUUCCCAAAGGGUUGCAUGCUUUCUAGCUGCUCAGUUUGAUGCCAGGUGCACCACAGUGUCCACCUCCUCUGCAGAGUGGGAAGUCGCUGCGCUGCCAAGGCAAAUGUCAGGAGGUCUUGUCCUGCUGGGCUUCUCCUCAGAGGACUUUCCAAGAGUUUCACCUACAUGAAGAGCAGGAGGCUGUGGAGCAAAUAAGAGAAGAGCCACUGUUCC